AAUCACUUCCUUCGCGGUUCGAACAAUUCGCCCGAGACGAGACGGGGAUGCCUCCGCGGGCGCCGCCGCCGGCGGCGUUCCCGUCCCUGGACGCCUACUACCUCCACCACCUCCGCUCCUGCUCGACGCCGCGCCACGCCGCCGCCGUCCACGCCCACGUCGUCCGUGCCCACCCCUUCCCUUCCCUCUUCCUCCGCAACACGCUCCUCGCCGCGUACUGCCGCCUCGGCGGCCCCGCGCGCCGCCUGCUCGACGAAAUGCCCCGCGCCAACGCCGUCUCCUUCAACCUCCUCAUCGACGCCUACUCCCGCUCCGGACAGGCAGACGCCUCUCUCGAGACCUUCACGCGCGCUCGCCAUUCCGUGGGCGUCAAGGCCGACCGGUUCACGUACGCGGCCGCGCUCGCCGCGUGCUCGCGGGCCGGGCGCCUGAGGGAGGGCAAGGCCGUGCACGCGCUGGCCGUCCUCGAGGGGCUCACCGGGGGCGUGUUCGUCUCCAACUCGCUCGUUAGCAUGUACGCCAGGUGUGGCGACAUGGGCCAGGCGAGGCGGGUGUUUGACGCCGCCCAGGAGCGGGACGACGUCUCGUGGAACGCGCUGGUCUCUGGCUACGUGCGUGCUGGCGCGCAUGAUGACAUGCUCAGGGUGUUUGCUCUGAUGCGCCGUUCUGGGAUUGGCUUGAAUUCUUUCGCUCUUGGCAGUGUCAUCAAGUGCUGCGCUGGCAGCGAUGACUCUGUGAGGGAUAUUGCCGCGGCCGUUCAUGGGUGCGUGGUGAAGGCUGGGUUGGACUCCGACGUGUUUCUUGCGAGCGCGAUGGUUGACAUGUAUGCCAAGAAGGGCGCAUUGAGUGAAGCUGUUGCGCUCUUCAAGUCGGUGCAUGAUCCCAAUGUGGUUGUGUUCAAUGCCAUGAUUGCGGGGCUGUGUCGUGAUGGGGCUGCUGUCGGUAUGGAUGUCCUGAGAGAAGCGCUAUGUCUGUAUUCCGAGGUGCAGAGUCAAGGAAUGGAGCCUACCGAGUUCACAUUCUCCAGCGUCAUAAGAGCUUGUAACUUGGCAGGUGACCUUGAAUUCGGAAAACAGAUACACGGGCAAGUGAUCAAGUACUGUUUCCAGGGAGAUGACUUCAUUGGGAGCCCACUCAUUGACCUGUACUUCAACUCUGGCUGCAUGGAAGAUGGGUUCAGGUGUUUCAGAUCUCUUCCGAAGCAAGAUGUCGUCACGUGGACAGCGAUGAUUUCUGGGUGUGUUCAGAAUGAGCUUUUCGAGAGGGCACUGACCCUGUUCCAUGAAUUAUUAGCUGCUGGACUGAAACCUGACCCUUUCACUAUAUCGACAGUGAUGAAUGCUUGUGCCAGUUUGGCUGUUGCAAGGACUGGUGAGCAGAUUCAGUGCUUUGCCACAAAAUCUGGAUUUGGUCGGUUCACUGCCAUUGGAAACUCCUGCAUACAUAUGUAUGCUAGAUCAGGGGAUGUUGAUGCUGCAGUCCGGAGGUUUCAGGAGAUGGAAUUACACGAUGUUGUGUCUUGGUCUGCUAUAAUAUCAAGCCAUGCACAGCAUGGCUGUGCUAGGGAGGCUUUACGGUUUUUCAGUGAAAUGGUAGAUGCAAAGGUGGUGCCAAAUGAGAUUACUUUUCUCGGUGUCCUUACUGCAUGUAGCCAUGGAGGAUUGGUUGAUGAGGGACUCAGGUAUUACGAAAUCAUGCAAGAGGAAUACGCGUUGAGCCCAACCAUCAAGCAUUGCACAUGUGUUGUCGACCUUCUUGGUCGAGCUGGGAGACUAGGUGAUGCUGAGGCUUUUAUAAGGGAUUCAAUCUUCCAUGAUGAACCUGUCAUCUGGCGGUCUUUGCUAGCAUCAUGUCGUAUCCAUCGAGACAUGGAGAGAGGUCAACUUGUUGCAGAUAGGAUAAUGGAACUACAACCCAGUUCCUCAGCAUCCUAUGUAAAUCUCUACAACAUUUACCUGGAUGCUGGGGAGCUCUCCCUAGCUUCAAAAAUUAGAGAUGUGAUGAAAGAGCGAGGCGUGAAGAAAGAACCUGGUCUGAGUUGGAUUGAACUAAGGUCUGGGGUUCACUCUUUUGUUGCCGGUGACAAGUCCCAUCCAGAGAGCAACACAAUAUACUCGAAACUGGCAGAGAUGCUUUCCAAGAUUGAUAAACUGACAGCCACUGAUACUUCCGGCACAAAGUCAGAUGACAUCACUAGAAACGAGCAAAGUUGGAUGAAUUGGCACAGUGAGAAACUAGCUGUGGCAUUAGGAUUAAUUCAUUUACCGCAGCCAGCACCUAUACGAGUAAUGAAGAACUUGAGAGUCUGCCGUGACUGCCAUUUAGCUAUGAAAUUGAUAUCGAAGAGUGAAAACAGAGAAAUAAUCUUGAGAGAUGCGAUUCGCUUCCACCACUUCAGAGAUGGCUCAUGUUCUUGUGCGGAUUACUGGUAGUGGCUACUAUGCUAGUGCAGUGGUUCCGAAGGAAGAAAGGCGCCUUCAACUCCUCAAAAGCGGCCUCCUCCAAACUGAAUGGUUGAGUCCACUGAACCAUCUCCAAGGAAUCGGGCUGAUUCUCCAAUUCGUCAUUGACCAGAUCCAUCCCCUGCUAGGCAUGUUGACAGAAGACCAGUAUCUCCAAUCAGAAGAUGUUCUCUCCUUCACCGCCUACAAGGCAUACGUCGCCAAUGCGGUGGGUUUGUGGCAGCUCACCACCUCGUAGAUACUCACCUGGGCCUCUUAGAAGGUGCUGGUUAAGGAGAUUGACGAGCCCUUCGAGAAGGUCACCACCACCACCUCCUCCAAGUCGUCAUAGUCGCUCCCCUCCUCUUCACUCGCACCAGAUCAAUUUCUCCAUAUAGAACCAGAGGACUUCCUACACUGGGGCUGGCGUGGAAUGUGAGAUUCAUCCAAGUCUGCAUCACCCAGUCCUCCGAGGAAGAAGGAGCAUCUCAAGCGACAGUGGGAGUAGCAGCGCCCACCUUCCCGGAGGCAUAGGUACUCGAAGGAAACUUGGGGCAAACUGGGGAUAUCCCGGCCCAAAACAGGCCUGCUAAAUGGCUCCGUGGGGAUAUUUUUACAGUCUUGUUGAAGUUACUAACAGCAAAGUACUCAAAAUAAAUGAUGCAAACUUAUGGAAGUCGUAGACCAGCUGACAUGCAAUGAAUACAACUACUGGUUUCUUCAGCAACAAAGAGUUGAUGGAGGGGUUAAUACUGCAUGACACAAGCAUGGUAUAGGCUGCAUAAUGGCAAGAUAUCAUGUCCUUAUAAAUUCAACCGCCCAGGACAAAACUUUGUAUCCAAGUCCCAAAUGGUUACUAUAGGAACAGAGCAAAAUAGGACUCUUAAAUGACAGAAAAUGGACAUUGCCAAACUUGUACAAAGUAUACAACGCACAAAAUAAUCCAAGGAUCAACGACAAAUGCACAGAACUGGGAAAGAAACUGGACGUGAAUGCAUUGUUUAGUGAGCAAGUGGAAAAAUAUAAUAAAGAAAAUAGUUCAUGACAGCAAAUCUAGUUGUUCUGACGCCAUACUAAAGAGCACAUUAUAUACAGUAUCGCUUAAUAAUUAGUAGUUGUCAUUCACCAGAAAGUUUGGAAACAGUAAACAACUAAGAAUGUGAAAUGGAAAGUAUGAUAAGAAUACAGAGGCAAAAGAGUCGUGUUCAAUCGUGACAUAUAUAAAUAAGCAGCAGGAUGAGUGUAACAUAGACAUGUUAAUUGGUAAGUACUCAUGAGAAUUACCCAGUGGUGCUAAUUACGGUUCAGUAUACUACUCCUUCAGGACACCAUGCAGAAAAUUUAGCACAGACUAAACAACAUCAAUGAGCACAUUCUUCUUCUCAAAGAAAAGUGUGAAUUGUUAUAGCAUAGAUCAUAACUGUUUCCAAACAACAAUGAGGGCCAUAAAAGGUCCAACCUAGUGUAGCUUAUACAUGUAAAUAGAAAAAGAAGAAAGCAUCACAGCGACUACAUACCUUAUUCUUCGUGUUUUUUGAUAGUUGAUCCCGGACAUCUCGUUCUUCCAAAUAAAAUGUGAAACCAAACAAAAACAAUUCAGCUUCAGUGUUCAUCGAUGUGGCGGUGGCUAUAUUGUUUGUAUGCCAUAAUUAAGUGAAUCUCGGCAAACAAUCAUCUAAUUAGCUAACAAAAAAUGUCCAAAAAACUAGCAAGCAAAAUUACAUGGCUAUAUGUUCUUAGCAACAGGAGGGGAGCAUUUAAAAUCUAGA